rnacentral:ncRNA from 1 species
GCGGUUCUGACGUGCAAAUCGAUCGUCAAACUUGGGUAUAGGGGCGAAAGACUUAUCGAACCAUCUAGUAGCUGGUUCCCUCCGAAAUAUCCCUCAGGAUCGCCGAAGCUCGCAGCAGUUUCAUCGGGUAGAGCGAAUGAUUAGAGGUAGCUCUUUUAUGAUGCGAUGAGUGGUGGUGCAUGGCCGUUCUUAGUUCGUGGAGUGAUCUGUCGGCCUAAUCGCGGUAACGAACGAGACCAUAAUCUCCAUUUAAGAGAUAGAAGCAGACGUCUGUGCGAGUGGAGUCGCAAGAUUUCACCCGUCGGGUGUUGCAGGUUGCAUUGUGCGUCGCAUUGUCAAAGUGUAGGGGCAACCUGAAACUUUGGUGGUGUGGUGUGCUUUGUUCCCUUCUAUUGAGCAGCAAUCGGUCUCGACUGGUUGUUGCCUUAUGGAGAGACAACGAGGUAUAUACAAGCUCGAGGAAGAGUGGCUAUAACAGGUCAGUGAUGCCCUUCGAUGUUCAGGGCUGCACGCGCGCUACAAUGAUAACGACAACGAGUGUCUGCGUCGAAAGACGUGGGUAAUCUUUAAUCGUUAUCGUGAUGGGGAUUGACCGUUGUAACUGUCGGUCAUGAAAGAGGAAUCCCUAGUAUGCGUAUUUUAUUAGAAUGCGCAGAUUAAGUCCCUGCCCUUUGUACACACCGCCCGUCGCUACUACCGAGUGAAUGGUGUCAUGAUGCGCUGGGACUGGACGUUGGAUGGGUCCUCGGGCUCGUCCGACGCUGGGAUCAGCGUAAAAUGGCGCAAUUUCGAGGAAGUAAAAGUCGUAACAAGGUUUCCGUAGGUGAACCUGCGGAAG